GACGAGGGGUCCAAGCGUUGUUCGGAAUUAUUGGGCGUAAAGCGGGUGUAGGUGGCUCUAUAAGUCAGAAGUGAAAGCCCCGGGCUUAACCCGGGAAGUGCUUUUGAUACUGCAGAGCUUGAAUGUGGGAGAGGGUAGUGGAAUUCCAGGUGUAGUGGUGGAAAUAACGUAGAUAUCAGGAGGAACACCUGUGGUGUAGACGGCUCUCUGGACAGUAACUGACGCUGAGACACGAAAGCGUGGGUAGCAAACAGG
rnacentral:rRNA from 1 species